GGUUUUACCUGGUGGUGUGAGGGACGUGACUACAGGAAUAGCCGAGGUGCGCAGAAUCACGGUUUGUCCUCUGGUGUCGGCACGUGCUGUCUAAGCGAGUCAGAAUUCACCGAUGUUGGAUUCACCCACUAAUAGGGGACGGGGCUGGGUUUAGACCGUCGUGAGACGGGUAAGUUUGACUCUUCGGAUGAGAGGUUGUCGUG
rnacentral:rRNA from 1 species